CCUACGGGGGGCUGCAGUGGGGAAUUUUGGACAAUGGGGGCAACCCUGAUCCAGCAAUGCCGCGUGAGUGAAGAAGGCCUUCGGGUUGUAAAGCUCUUUUGUCAGGGAAGAAACGGUGAGUCCUAAUAUGGCUUGCUAAUGACGGUACCUGAAGAAUAAGCACCGGCUAACUACGUGCCAGCAGCCGCGGUAAUACGUAGGGUGCAAGCGUUAAUCGGAAUUACUGGGCGUAAAGCGUGCGCAGGCGGUUAUAUAAGUCAGAUGUGAAAUCCCCG
rnacentral:rRNA from 1 species